rnacentral:lncRNA from 1 species
GAAUUUAGUGCAAUUUAAUUACUAUAUGGAUGACUUGUGGAUACAGUAAACAGAACAAAAAAACACAAAACAGCAUUUUUUAUGUUUUUUAAAUGGCACCUAUUAAAGACUGAAACUCAAAAAUUGAGAUGCAACCAUCCAGUCCUUUAGAAGUCCAUGGACAGUGAAUUAUAAGGCACUGUAGUGUUUUUGCUGCCACCUGAAGUAGUGGCAGCAGGUCCUCUCAACCCCAGCCUGUGGUGAGAGAUGAUCUGUGCUACACCACAUGCUACAGCACACAGCUAACAAACAGCACUGGUCCACAGGACAUGCUCUGGCUCGUCUGGCUUCUCUCUCCUGUUUUCAAGCUUUCUGUGGCUAGAACAUUCAACACAGAAAUGGGUCUGUCUUAGCAGGAAGCAC